AUUUCCCAGCAUCCCGCGCGCCGCAGACCCACUUCCGGAGACCUCAGACAAGAUGGCGGCACCCGAGGAACACGAUUCUCCGACCGAAGCGUCCCAGCCGAUUGUGGAAGAGGAGGAAACUAAAACAUUUAAAGACCUGGGUGUGACAGAUGUGUUGUGUGAAGCUUGUGACCAGUUGGGAUGGACAAAACCCACCAAGAUCCAGAUUGAAGCUAUUCCUUUGGCCUUACAAGGUCGUGAUAUCAUUGGGCUUGCAGAAACUGGCUCUGGAAAGACAGGCGCCUUUGCUUUGCCCAUUCUAAAUGCACUGCUGGAGACCCCACAGCGUUUGUUUGCCCUAGUUCUUACCCCGACUCGGGAGCUGGCCUUUCAGAUCUCAGAGCAGUUUGAAGCCCUGGGGUCCUCUAUUGGAGUGCAGAGUGCUGUGAUUGUAGGUGGAAUUGAUUCAAUGUCUCAAUCUUUGGCCCUUGCAAAAAAACCACAUAUAAUAAUAGCAACUCCUGGUCGACUGAUUGACCACUUGGAAAAUACGAAAGGUUUCAACUUGAGAGCUCUCAAAUACUUGGUCAUGGAUGAAGCCGACCGAAUACUGAAUAUGGAUUUUGAGACAGAGGUUGACAAGAUCCUCAAAGUGAUUCCUCGAGAUCGGAAAACAUUCCUCUUCUCUGCCACCAUGACCAAGAAGGUGCAAAAACUUCAGCGAGCAGCUCUAAAGAAUCCUGUGAAAUGUGCCGUUUCCUCUAAAUACCAGACAGUUGAAAAAUUACAGCAAUAUUAUAUUUUUAUUCCUUCUAAAUUCAAGGAUACCUACCUGGUUUAUAUUCUAAAUGAAUUGGCUGGAAACUCCUUUAUGAUAUUCUGCAGCACCUGUAAUAAUACCCAGAGAACAGCUUUGCUACUGCGAAAUCUUGGCUUCACUGCCAUCCCCCUCCAUGGACAAAUGAGUCAGAGUAAGCGCCUAGGAUCCCUUAAUAAGUUUAAGGCUAAAGCCCGUUCCAUUCUUCUAGCAACUGACGUUGCCAGCCGAGGUUUGGACAUACCUCAUGUAGAUGUAGUUGUCAACUUUGACAUUCCUACCCAUUCCAAGGUAAGCCCUAUUGCUAACUUGCCUUUCUAGUCCUAAAGUGUAUUUCUUAAUGGAGUGUCUUCUGUCUUUCCUUAGUUGUAGCAGUUUUUUUGUUCCUGGUUAAUUAAGUAUCAAAAAACAAGAAAGCCCUUGAUUAGUUCAUUCACAUCAUCUUGCACAGGCCUGUGUAUGUAACAUUAGUACAUAUGAAAGAGGUAGCCAAGGAGAGUUAUUAGAUGUUCAUAGAAGGGGCUGGUGCACCACAUACUGAUCUUGUCACUGUCAUUUCUUGAGAAUGACAGCUUGUAGUUUUUUUGAGGCGGAGUCUCGCUCUGUCACCCAGUCUGGAGUGCAGUGUUGCAGUCUUGGCUCACUGCAUGCUCUGCCUCCUGGGUUCACGCCAUUCUCCUGCAUCAGCCUCCUGAGUAGCU
rnacentral:sRNA from 1 species